UACGUAGGGUGCGAGCGUUGUCCGGAAUUAUUGGGCGUAAAGGGCUCGUAGGCGGUUUGUCGCGUCGGGAGUGAAAUCCACUGGCUUAACUGGUGGCUUGCUUUCGAUACGGGCAGACUGGAGGUAUGCAGGGGAGAACAGAAUUCCUGGUGUAGCGGUGAAAUGCGCAGAUAUCAGGAGGAACACCGGUGGCGAAGGCGGUUCUCUGGGCAUGUCCUGACGCUGAGGAGCGAAAGCGUGGGGGAGCGAACAGG
rnacentral:rRNA from 1 species